GGCAUGAAUAUCGAUGAAAAAUAAUCCUGAGCAUUACUUUGAAGCAAAACUCUUGUUACAUGAUUGAAGGUGUUUACCAGGGGCGUCCUUAAUUUCCUCUCUUCAAACAACUCAUAAAGGACUGUUUACCACCGCAGAUGUCCUUGCUUUCCUCCCUCAUAGCAAUGGUUUCAAAUUCUUUCUAUUUUUUAUUAAUGAUCUCAAAUUCUUUGAUAUUUGAUGCAGUUCUCUAUUUGGAUUCCCAGAAGAUAAUUUCACCUUGCUCUCCAAUUAGACCAAGUUCUCUGAGCCUCCUUUCUUGGUAAUAUUCUAACUCAUCCAAUUCUGAUU
rnacentral:misc_RNA from 1 species